UACGUAGGGGGCAAGCGUUGUCCGGAUUUAUUGGGCGUAAAGAGCGUGUAGGCGGCUUGGUAGGUCCGCUGUGAAAACUCGAGGCUCAACCUCGAGAUGUCGGCGGAAACCAUUUGGCUAGAGUCCGGAAGAGGAGAAUGGAAUUCCCGGUGUAGCGGUGAAAUGCGCAGAUAUCGGGAAGAACACCCGUGGCGAAGGCGGUUCUCUGGGACGGUACUGACGCUGAGACGCGAAAGCGUGGGGAGCGAACAGG
rnacentral:rRNA from 1 species